rnacentral:rRNA from 1 species
AUGAGUCGACCUGAUUGGAUCAACAUCCUCGACGGCAAGUUCUACCUUGGAGAUGCUGGCUAUGCAUGUCGGCCGGGUAUUCUUUCGCCCUUCAGGAAAACAAGGUACCAUCUCAACGAGUUCUCUGGUAGGAACUAUCCUAGGACUGCACAGGAGCUGUUUAAUCUCAGACACUCCAGCCUUAGAGUAACUGUUGAGAGGGCAUUUGAAGCUCUGAAGAAUAGGUUUAAGAUCCUGGAUCAGAAGCCAUUCCACCCAUACCCCACUCAGGUUAAGCUAGUUCUUGCUUAUUGCAUUCUGCAUAACUGGAUCCUCUAG